ACUUACGGCCACACCGCCUGGUUAACGCCCGAUCUCGUUUGAUCUCGGAAGAUAAGAUAGGUUGGGCCUGGUUAGUACUUUGAUGGGAGACCGCCUGGGAAUACCAGGUGCUGUAAGCU
ensembl:rRNA 5S_rRNA 5S ribosomal RNA